rnacentral:rRNA from 1 species
GUGGGGAAUAUUGGACAAUGGGCGAAAGCCUGAUCCAGCAAUGCCGCGUGCAGGAAGAAGGCCUUCGGGUUGUAAACUGCUUUUGUACGGAACGAAACGGUCCGGGUUAAUACCCUGGGCUAAUGACGGUACCGUAAGAAUAAGCACCGGCUAACUACGUGCCAGCAGCCGCGGUAAUACGUAGGGUGCAAGCGUUAAUCGGAAUUACUGGGCGUAAAGCGUGCGCAGGCGGUUUUGUAAGACAGGCGUGAAAUCCCCGGGCUCAACCUGGGAAUUGCGCUUGUGACUGCAAGGCUGGAGUGCGGCAGAGGGGGAUGGAAUUCCGCGUGUAGCAGUGAAAUGCGUAGAUAUGCGGAGGAACACCGAUGGCGAAGGCAAUCCCCUGGGCCUGCACUGACGCUCAUGCACGAAAGCGUGGGGAGCAAACAGGAUUAGAAACCCCAGUAGUCC